GCCAUUUUGGUUCAGUGGUUAGAGCGUUGGCCUGUGGAGUGACAAGUGGCAGGAUCAAUUCCUGUCAAGGGGCA
rfam:Myotis davidii contig34572, whole genome shotgun sequence.